AACGAACGCUGGCGGCGUGCCUAACACAUGCAAGUCGAGCGCGAAAAGGGCAACCUGAGUAGAGCGGCGCACGGGUGCGUAACACGUGGGUAAUCUGCCUUAGAGUCGAGGAUAACCUUCCGAAAGGUUGGCUAAUACUCGGUAAGCUUACGGUGUCUUCGGACGCUGUGGGAAAAGUAGGCCUCUGUUUACAAGCUUACGCUCUGAGAUGAGCCCGCGGCCCAUCAGCUAGUUGGCGGUGUAACGGACCACCAAGGCAACGACGGGUAGCUGGUCUGAGAGGACGAUCAGCCACACUGGAACUGAGACACGGUCCAGACUCCUACGGGAGGCAGCAGUGGGGAAUUUUCCACAAUGGGCGAAAGCCUGAUGGAGCAACGCCGCGUGUGCGAUGAAGGCCUUCGGGUCGUAAAGCUCUGUUGUCAGGGAAGAACAAGUACCGGAGUAACUGCCGGUACCUUGACGGUACCUGACCAGAAAGCCACGGCUAACUACGUGCCAGCAGCCGCCGUAAUAC
rnacentral:rRNA from 1 species